GAGCAGAAGGAGGUAGGAGGACAAGGAUGCAGGGGGAGUCUGAGGUCCCCGCUUAGGCCGGUUUACGCGUAACCCAGGGCCCAUCCAGCUAAGUGCUCGCAGGAGCAGGAGAACAGAGCAGAAGGAGGUAGGAGAACAAGGAUGCAGGGGGAGUCCGAGGUCCUCAUGGAGGCCGGUUUACGCGAACACUGCCCUCUGCAAAGCUAAGCGUCCGACAGCGAGGCGCAGGAGAACCGAGGAGAAGGAGAAAGGAGGAUGCUGAGGCAGAGAGAGUCCGAGGUCCUCACUUAGGCCGGUUUAC
ensembl:lncRNA